AUCUGUAUUUUUGGGUGUAUUUUUUAUAUUUAUCUUUAUCUUAUCUGUGAUUUGAGAGGUCGACAGACUAUAUCCUAUCAUUGGAUUGUAUAUGUCCUACCUUGUAUUGGUUCUGGUAUCCGGAAAUUGGGAUCAACGGAGUGGGCUUUUUACGUCAGGACGGAGGCAGAGUCCAAUAUCCGAAACAUUGUUUUAAAUAAAAAUCAGGACGAUGGAUGGUGUAAAAAGAGUCGAUCAUUGUGUUACUGCUUGUGUUUCGCCUUUUCAACCAAACCGAAUUGUUCCAUCUGUUUCCUGUUCUUCAGAAGUUGUGUCAGUUUUAGUUGAUUUCCUUCGGCUCUCGAGAUGAUCUCGCCGAAAGAUUUUAGGAACUGCUUAAAUAUAUUUUCUCCUCCUGUGACCCAUCUUCAUCGUUACCUUCAGUACACACGUUCGUUCCUGUUUUUCGGAUUUCUUCACACACCCUUCUUAGAAUUUUUUCUUUCUGAAUAGUCUCUAGGAUACGGAUCUCCGUACUUUAUUAAACGAGAUGCGUCCGGCGCCUAGAAUAAUUUAGAAUGGUCGUACUUUCUACUGUUCUUAGAGUUCUUGUAAUUUGUAUUUGAAGUAGUCCGCUUGAAUUUCCCACGUACCGUGCAGAUGCGACACUUCCUCGAUGCGUGCGCUAAAUUUCACUUGUUCCUCAACAGCUGUAAAAUACUUCCGAUUCCGCUUCUGCGUGCACAUGUGAAACAAGACUUGCACGGUUUGCAGCCCCCUCCCAAAUCAGUGGUAUAUGAAAAUGGCGGUGCAAGAUGGAGGGGGGAAGGAUGAGUUAAAAACACAGUUUAUUACAAGAGAAGGGACGUACAGGCUAAUGACGCUCUCAGAAUAUUCAAGGCCCAAUAGGGUCGGGUAUACCAACACUCAAGGCAGUGCCGCUGUUCGUGUGUCGUUUGUAACAUUACCAGAUCCAAGCGGCAAUGGGGAUAGAAUUUGUUUCAAUUUCGGUAGGGAGUUAUAUGUUUACGUAUACAAAGGUGUUAAAAAGGCAGCAGAUCUAACCAAACCAGUAGACAAAAAAAUGUAUAAGGGUACGAAUCCAACUUGCCAUGACUUCAAUGUUGUUACAAUGACGCCGGAUAGCGUGUCCCUAGUUGUCGGUUUUUCAACAGGACAGAUCCAGCUUAUUGAUCCUAUAAAAAAGGAGCUUAGUAAACUGUACAAUGAAGAGAGAUUAAUUGACAAGACGAAAGUAACGUGCAUCCGGUGGGUGCCUGGAUCAACAAACCUGUUUCUGGUUUCACAUAGCAGCGGCCAGCUGUACCUGUAUAAUGAAGAGUUGCCUUGUGGCACAGCUCCACCCCAUUACCAGCCUUUCAAACAAGGUGAUGGGUAUGCAAUCCAUACAUGCAAGACCAAAAGCACACGGAAUCCUCUCUACCGAUGGGUCAUUGGAUCAGAAGGCUGUUGUAUCAAUGAAUUUGCUUUCUCUCCAUGUGGUACAUGUCUUGCUGUGGUUUCUCAGGACGGUUUCUUGCGGGUGUUCCAUUAUGAUACCAUGGAACUGUUAGGAUCAGCGAGGAGCUAUUUUGGAGGAUUUCUGUGUGUCUGCUGGUCACCUGAUGGACGUUAUGUUGUUGUGGGGGGUGAGGAUGAUCUUGUUACUGUGUGGAGUUUCCAUGAAAGGAGGGUUGUUGCAAGAGGACAAGGUCAUCGUAGCUGGGUUAGUGUGGUUGCGUUUGAUCCCUACACCACAUCUUACAGUGAACAAGAUGGCACAGUGGACUUCAGUGGGGGAUCAGAUGAUGAAACAACCCAACAGAAUCAUACGCCAAAUUGUACGUUGUCCAGUGGGAGUAGUGAACGAAGUUCAGUGACUAGGAAUUCGGGGAAUCAGGCUUCAAACAGGAACUCUUCUGGCUCAGACUUUAAUCGUAUGAAUGCGGCAACGUGCUACCGUCUAGGUUCUGUAGGUCAAGACACACAACUUUGUCUGUGGGACAUUACAGAAGAUGUCUUACGUCAGCCAAUGUGCAGUAAAUUGAGGACUAGUGGUGUUGGUGGGUCUGGAACGUUUGGUGUAAAUGGAUUAGCAGCAGGUGGUGCAUACCACUUAAACUCUAUGGGGGGCUGUGUGCCCAGAUGCAACAAUGUGUCCACAACACUACAGACCAAUGCUGUGGCAAGUAAGGACAAGGAAUGUCUUGCAGAUGGAAAUGCAACUCAUUUCCAUGGCAUGAACAUGCACAAUAAUUCAUCAGCCCCAUCCCUUACACAGAGACUUGCUGGACUUGGUUUUGGUGAUAGAAAAGAUGGAAGUGGUACUCACAAGCGGAAUUUUAGCCUUGCAUCGCGAGGCGGAAGCACUGGAGGUGAUAAAAAUAAUUCAUCAUAUCGAGGGAGUGGAACUUCAAAUCGUACCUCAGCAGAUGACCCCAUGAGACUCAUUGGAACCGGUGCCUGUCCGAGGUUUGAUGAGUGUCCCGUCCUUGAGCCUCUGAUCUGUAAGAAGAUUGCUCACGAACGGCUCACAGCUCUCAUUUUUCGAGAAGAUUGCUUUGUCACAGCGUGUCAGGAUGGUUAUGUCUACACGUGGGCAAGGCCAGGAAAAAUGGGUCUUGCUUCUCACAUCCCAUCAAGCCCAACUACAGUAACUGCAGCAGCAGUUGGGGGCGGCAUCGGUCCCAGCGGCACGGUGGUAUAGCCACCCUCUCCCAGCCCUCGUUGUGCUGGGCUCUUUUUUAACGUCUCCCUCCUUUUCUCAGUGAAAAGGUGGGGGACACCUAUCAGGGAGAUCCUUCAGAAGGACCUGCACUCAAUCACUGUACAUCUCACUGGUCCAGUGACAGAUUGGUUCUUUCUAAUGGACCGAGUUGAUUACAUGCCUCCCCAUAUACUGGAUGCUGUUAUACUAAACAUGACCUAUCUGGACUCUGUUCAGAAAAUGAGCAGAUAUGAAUAUGGUUACAGUCCUGUGGUAUAAGUGAAAUGGUAAGUGUACAUUCACAACAAUCACCUUUCUUUCAGUUAGCUGCAAACUGCCCAGCAUGCAGUGCAAAAGACCUGAGGUUACUGUUUUCUGGAAUGUGAUGCCAGAUAAUUGGGUAGAUAAGCAGCAACAUUUUGUAGGGACCUGUUACCUGCAUCUUCAGGGAAGAAGAAGUGGUCACCUGUCUUAAAGAUGGAAGUACCAGGCCCCUCCAAAAGAUUGGUACUUAUCCACCAACUACACAGUGUCAUUGUAAUCUUAAUUCUUUUGUUACAGUUUAUUUUUCAUUAAGGGAGGCCCUAAUUUUGAUGAUUAAUGUGAAAAUUCCUUAACAAAAAUUGGUAUUCCACUUGUUAAACUGCCAAAGGAAGUGUCUGGUUUAGGUCCCCAACUUGACUGAAAGCAUUUUUUAAUUUCAUUCAGCCCCUGCAAUUUUCAUUUGAUACUGCAGAACAUCAGUAGUUGAAAGGAUGUUGCAAAAUGAUGCAAGAAAACUCUCCUGGUUCAGAUUAACCAUUCAUUUUAUUUGAUGGUCCACGCAUGUUAAACCAUAUCAUGUAUGUCCUUUGUGACUGAAGGACUCGGACUCUGCUAUAAACAAUUUUCUUAAAGAUAACACAACACCUUCAGUAGGUGCUGUGUUCAGUGCUAUAGAGACAUUCUCUUUAUUUUAGUAAUUCCUUAUUCAGAUUCCAGAGCUACGUGCAACCUUCAUUAAUAUUUUUUUAGCGCACUGACUAAAUGUGCCUAUCUGUAAGACGACAGAAUGCAGACUGUAAAACAUGAUGUAUGAUAGUAAUUGCAUUCAGGUAGCAAUUUUAUUCACUCUCUUUUGGGUGGGGGGACGUCUCGUUGGUUUAAACCAAAUGUUGUCUGUGUUCUUUAUUUCACAUAUCACAUAUUCUUGCUGCAUGACAUAAUCUUAGAUUAAUUAUUUUCAGGUAAGGCACAAGCAUCAAACAAAAUACAAGUAUCCCCUGACUUAAGUGAAUUCUGCUUUAAUUCAGUUUUGUAUGAAUUUAUUUUAAUUUGCUUUUUUUUUUUUUAAUGAAGAUGAUAAAAAUGAUUAAAUUAUUUUUAAGAAUGCAGUCUCCUGGAUGGUACAGCUAAGCUUGCCACCUGCUUGUGCUGGUUCCUUGCUUGGGUUAGUCUCUAACCUUGAAGGUGGAGGUGAUGUGUUCCUCUGAAACAUUGGCCUAUUGCGGGAUGGACGUUGUCUAGGCCGUUUUUGUAUUUACAGUUAUUUCUCACAAUAAAAUAUUGGCAUGUCUCCAGAUUAUGUAGUAAUACAAACCAGAGAAAUGUUCUCUUCACAUUCACCACAGCGAGAACCUUAAAUCCAACAGUGAAAUUAUUUGUUAACUGCUAAAAAAUGGUAUUAAAUUAAUUAAAUUACUUAUAUCUCAUUAAUGAUUAAAGGCAAAACACUAGGAGCCAGAAUAUCAAGCAAAAUACCUUGGGUGAGCAAUUUGCUAAUUUUUAUUAACAAAAGGACAGUUGAUACAUCUACAUAUAAAUAAUAGAAAAUUCUUGUCAAGCCAGGGGAAACUCAACAUGCCAUUCCUCAGAAUAUGGAGAAGAAACAUGAUAGGAUUUACAAAUAAAAGGAAAAUGGAAUAGGAGAUCGAAGGAUUAGAAUGGCGAAGAAAUGGAAGAAUGGGGUUGAGGGUAAUGUUGUAACAUGAAGGAGAGAGAAGUAAGAAGUGGGAAAGAGAUAACAAAGAAAAUGAGUUAGGAUGCAAGAAAGCAACGAGGGAUGAAAGAGGAGGGGAUGAAGAUAAGUUAUAAGGAAACAGGAAAAAAUAAGUUAUUUUCCCUGUCUUUGAUGGGCCAUGCACUAGCAGUAUUAAGAUAGGAAUGAAAUUGGAAUUUCCUAGAAUUUGUGCCGGAUUGGAAGGGAAUAACAGGAAUUUUGAGUUACAUGACUGCUCUUGGGAAUGCAGCUAUCACAUAAGUCAUGAGAUACCUCUGUUGUAGUGUAUCAUAGGUUUUUAAACUACUUUAUUUUGUGAUACAGAAAUAAUGUUGGAGAUGUGCUGACAGACAUGUUAUCUUUUGAUAUGGGAGAGGUUAGUAGUCUAGUAUGAUGUGGCAUCACAUGUUGUGCUCUGUUAGGUUAUGACUCUCUCUUAUAGCCUUGUAGGUAGAUACCAAUGCUCUGGAGGAACAUAAUGCCUCCAUCUUCAGGGAUGAAGAAUGUUGGUAGUUAUCUGCCAGAUUACACCAUGGUGUCACAACCUAAUUGUCACCUCCAGGAAAAUAUCAAACUUUACAUAUGGUGCGAUUGUUUGUUUUCAUACCAAACUGAAUUAACACAUCAGUGCAAAAUAUUUUAAUUGUGUGCAGACAGAAGAACAUAUUGUGAUUUUAAUGCUGUAAAUAACAGACGUUUAUUAUUAAUACAGACAUGUGUUAAUGACUGCUAUUAGUUUUCAUUGGUCUUUAUCAGUAUAGUUGAGGUCCAUGUAGUUGAAGUUAUGGAAAGUAAAAAUAAUAUUGGACUUCAAUGGUCAGUUAUCUGUGAUGUAGACUAUAUGGGUUGGUUUUACCACUUCAUGUGGAAACAAUUCUGAAACAAAUGUACAGUAGUAAUAUAUCGUAUAGUAUUUAUUGCAACUGUUGUUUCAAGUGUCAGAGACUCCCUCUCUUUCACCAGUUGCCUUUUGCUUUCAGUUCAUACUUUUGUAAUUGGAUCAUUCAGCAUGGCAUGAAUAUUUCUUCAUUGUUUUAUAUUUUGAAGCAAAGCUUCUGUAGCUAGAAAGUGUUGAGUGAUUCAGAGAAAGAUUGUUGUUGUCAUUUGGUUUAUGACAACAUUCGGCAUGGCAGGUGGUUAACACGUUUCAGAAGAACCUGCUGUGUCUGUCUUUGGGAUGAAGAUGGAGACAGAAUGUUCUUCUGAAAAGCUGGUAUGCAGUUUCAUAACCCAGAACAACGCAGUCCUAAUAUUUGCCAAUGUGAAAGCCUGAAAUCUCACGUUGGUCUGAGUAACUGAAUGUACACAGAUGUAAUUUCCUAAAAUUUGAGAAAUACCAAAAAUGGGGAGGGGGUUAGCUUUGUGCUAUAUAACAAGCAAUGACCAAGCAUGCAUGUGCUUGCCUACAGCCACUAACUGAAAGAUUAUUUGGCCGUUGGCCUAUAGUAAUGCAUAAACGCAUUACUUGUAACAUCUCAAACAAAGCCAUCUUCACCAUGCUCUCUGUUAGGCGCUCAUGUGCAAGAUCAGCAGCCGGUGCAUCCUGUGGCUUUUAUGGCAAACUGCCAGCAGGCUCAUUUAUCUGUGCCCCACUACAUAACUUAUAUUCAUGCAGUGUGUUCAUGAUCAGAAAUUAACUGCUUAGAGAGAUAUUUAUGAUUUUGAAUAAUGGUUGUAGCGUAUAUACUUCAGUGAGUAUAGUUUUGAUGUCAGAUUUAUUUUAAAGCUGACUUGUAUAAUGCAACAUAUCAUCUGUAAGAAGCUAAUUUUGCAUACAGCCUCAGCCCUGUGGAUACGUGUACAGAACAGGGGAAGAAAGCAUAGCCCCCCUCAUUGCAGAUGCUGACAAGUUGCUCUGUAACAGAAGUCUCAGUCUCCCUUUCAUUCCUAGUUGGACGAACCUGAUCUUGUAGUCAAGCGUGUACCACUUAUGUUUCAUAUUUAUAGGAUUCCAAGUUCAGAUCUCAGCUUUGAGACCACCUAUCCUGAUGUUUUUGGUGGUGUUCCUGACCUUCUAGCCAAAAGACUCAAAUUAGGCCACAACCACUUCCUUCUGCAUUCUGUGCAAUUCAUUGUUCAGUAGUGGUCCUGUCAUUUGAUGCUUUAUAGGUAUGAGCUACUCGCAGCAUCAUUAAAUAAAACAUAAAUAAGAAGACCCUACUUGGAUGCAGUGAGUAAAAGAAACAUAAUUUGUGUCCCUCGGUUGUAUAUUUGUAUUGUAUUUAUUUAUUUCAUUCUUUUCUCCUACUUUCUUUCCCUGCUUCCUUGGUGAGUUGGAGCAUUCCUCUAUAUAUGCGCACUAGCUUCUUCAUUGGAGAGAUCAGUAAAAGCGAAGACAAAACGAUUGUAAAGCAAGUACAAGUACUUAUUGAACAGAGUGAUCCAGUUGAGUGGUGCUUGCUAAUUAUUUUUAUCAUGAUGUUCAUCAUGUAGCAUUCAUAAUGUUGAGCCACAUGUUGGCCUGUUCCAAGCUCUUUGCAGUAGUCUGUUCAAAAUUAUUCCUCAGUUCUUUGAUCCAUGUGGUUUAUAAUGUUUCAGAAGUGUCAACAUGUUGAAUUCGGUUGGUGUUAUAUUUUUAAAGUUGGCACAGUAUGGGUUCUGUUUUUAAUUCUGUUAAGGUCUUAAUUUCGUUUGUGGUCUAUCCAAGCACAGUUCACCAUUUAUUUUACAAAUUUAAUCUCAGCAGCUGUAAUCCUGGACAUGACUUUUGCUUGCUGAUUAUCCCAAAUUGCAUGAUGUACAUACUUAUGUACAUACAUAAGUAUAUACACAAACAUGCAUGUUGUUCCUUGCUCAUUUCCAUCCAGUUGCUAGUUCUGUCAUGUAAUGUCUCUGAUUAGUUCCCAUAAAAUUUUAUUAUUUAUGUUCUCCGAUACUGACAUGCCAUUUUGUAGUUAAAGUGCAUAAAAUGUAACGCAGAACAUCCAGCGUUUGCUCCCAGAGGAUAUGUGAGAGAUGUGACUGAAUACUGGGUCACUGUGGUUCCUAAAAUAUUGCAUCAGUAUUAACACACAGUUCUAAGGACAGAAUUCUUGCAUCCACAUGUGGAAAGUGUAUGUUCUUCCUCCAAAAUUUAUUUAAUCCUUACCAGUAUAGGUGAUGCUAGAUAUUCUCAGUGGUUGUUAUAAUAUUACUAAAUAACAUCAUAUAUUUCACAUGUAAAUGAACUGCUGAAGUAACUGGCCACAGGCAUCUGUUAAAGAGAGGCUGUAAGUCCUAUCUUUGUGACACUGAGUUUAGAAGAUCUAGGUGCCUUUUUAAGCAACCGUAAAUUCUACAGGUAUGAAAUUUGGCAGACGUGUAGUUGAGGAUUCUCUGUAUCUGCUGAACUUCUUCUGCAAUGAUUUACUUUAAGUAUAUUUUUUGUCCCCCCCCCCAAGACCAUAUAUUCAAGAAAUGGUGUUUUAGGAGAGAAAAAAGGUUAGAAUGUUUAUUGCAAGCAAAUCACUGUAAAUAAGAGCUAACAGAUACAGGGUUACUUAGAAAAUGCAUCUGGAUUUGACAAAAUUAACUUUGCAGUUGAGUGCCCACAUCAUAUAUGGAGCUCAAGAUGAAGCCAGUGCCAAGGACUAUCCACAUCAUAUUUGUAUUUUAAGUAGGCUUUAAAUAGGAUGUAUUUCUUGUAGAUUAUGUUGAUUGUACUGUUGCCAGUACCAUGUAUGAUCAAAUCAAAAGAUGAGGGAACCAUCAUGGCUGACUAAACAUUAUAAGGCUAAUGCUUAUUUUCAAUUGUGAUAGUUUUCAUCAAAAGGGCAAAAAAUAUAUGCCUUGAGCUGAGAAGUUUGUUUUAUACAAGUCAUAUGUAAUCCUUUCACUUGAUUAUGUUUACUGAUCAUGACUCAGUGUAUUAUUGUUAUUAUGUUUGUAAAGAUUUAUUUGCAGUUGUUGAUACAAAAAUCAAUAAAAGAUUAAACAUCUGUAAUGUGUAACGUGUUGAGGCAUUUGUUAUAUAAUGAUACAAUGGAAUUGUAAAUGUAAUAGAAUGUGGAGAUGAUUGAUUCAUUUACUUGUUUGUAUUUAUGUAAAUAUACAUGAACAUAUGAAAAAUAAUAUAGCUAUAUAUUGUAUUUCUGCUUGAGCAUGAAAAUAUGAGGAUAUGUAAAACUCAUGGAAUAAAAUGUCUGAGGCAGAAUGUAA